rnacentral:rRNA from 1 species
AGCAGCCGCGGUAAUUCCAGCUCCAAUAGCGUAUAUUAAAGUUGUUGCAGUUAAAAAGCUCGUAGUUGAAUUUCGGGGUCAGUAAGUUGGUCGUGCCACUGGUAUGUACUGGCUUUACUGAUUCCUCCUUCUUGUAGAACCGUAAUGCCAUUAAGUUGGUGUUGCGGGAAAACAGGACUGUUACUUUGAAAAAAUUAGAGUGUUUAAAGCAAGCUAACGCUUGAAUACAUUAGCAUGGAAUAAUGAAAUAGGACGAACGAUCCUAUUUUGUUGGUUUCUAGGAUUGACGUAAUGAUUAAUAGGGAUAGUUGGGGGCAUUAGUAUUCAAUUGUCAGAGGUGAAAUUCUUGGAUUAUUGAAGACUAACUACUGCGAAAGCAUUUGCCAAGGAUGUUUUCAUUAAUCAAGAACGAAAGUUAGGGGAUCGAAGACGAUCAGAUACCGUCGUAGUCUUAACCAUAAACUAUGCCGACUAGGGAUCGGAUGAUGUUAAUUUUUUCAAUGACUCAUUCGGCGCCUUA